CAUUGUUAACGUGUCUAGUACUAUCUACUACUAUAACUAUAUAUUAUUAUUAAUCUUUUUUAAUAGAUCUGAAAAAAACAUAAAGGGGUUGUUGUGCAAAAUAAAUAUGGGAAUGUUGACUUCUUGAAUUUUUUGGUUACACCCAGAAAAUAAGGCAAUGUGUGAGAUGGUGCUGAGAGUGUAGAUCUGAAGAAGGUCACUGUGUGACUGUGUGAAGAUCUACAAAGGGUUUGAAGAAGAAUUUGGCUUAAUGAGCACGCGUAUGUUUUUCUUUUUUCUAGUCCUAAAAAUGGUGGUUUCUUUGUGGGUUUCUGUUCUCAGGUCUCAAUUGUACUUCUAUUAUUAAAAAUAGGGUCUUAUUUAUUUUUCAUUUGAGUUUCUUAACAACUAAAUUUAUCUUUCAACCGCUAAAUAUAACUUAUAAGUUUAUAAUAGACACAUAACAAUAUAUCAUUGGAUCUGAUUAAAAAAAUUUAAAAUAUUUUUAUUAAAAACUAGAAAAAAAUUAUAAAAAUAGAAAAAAAUAUUUUAAUAAUGUAUUUUCAUUUUUUUAAAAACUGAAAAAUAUAUUUCCAACAAAAUAUUUUCGUUUUUAAAAUUUUUAUUUUAUUUUUUUCAAUUUUCAUAGCAUUUCGUUUUAUUUUGUUUUUCAGUUUUUUUAAAAAGAAAGUAUUUUUAUUUAUUUUUUUAAAUAAAAUGAAGAAAAAAAUUUCAAAAUGCUAAUUUGGACACAUUAAUAAUACGGUUAGGCAUUUCGACAUUUUAGCCAAAUAAUAACCGUAUUUUUAUUAUUAAAAAUAAUAACUGUAUUAUUAUUGUUAAAUACCAAAUUAGCAUGAUUGGAUUAGAAGCUGUUGAUAGAAUUAAAUUCCAACGAUUAGGCAAUUCUAAAUUUUUUGUGAAGAAUAACAAAAAAAAUAUGUUGAAAAUAUUUGGACACGGCACAAAAUUUUUUGUGAAGAAUAACAAAAAUACUUUCUUUUUAAAAAAAUUAAAAAAUGGAAUAAAACGAAAUGCUAUAAAAACUGAACAAAAAAUUUAAAAAAAUUCAAAAACAAAAAUAUUUUAUUAAAAUAUUUUUUUCUAUUUCUAUAUUUAUUUUCUAGUUUUUAAUAAAAAUGCUUUAAAAAAAUUUUAAUCGGGUCCAAUAGCAUUUUGCCACGUGUCCAUUAUAAAUUUGUAAGUUAUAUUUAACGGUUGAAGAGUAAAUUUGACCCAAAAGUAUAACAUCAUGAAUAUUUUUUAUAAAAAACUCAAACGAAAAAUAAAUAAGGCCUAUUUUUCAUACGGCAAAUCAGACCCUCAACCGUUAUGUUUUUGACUCGCUCUCGAGACUCUAUUUAGGAAUUCAGGUUCCUUUUUGUUUGUUUGUUUUGCUUUUCCACAUUUCUCGUUUAUUUUUAUUUUAUUUUUAUUUUAUUACUGUGUGUUUUAAUGGUCUACUAGUACAAGUCUACUCUACAAUGUGAUUGGAGGUGGGCUGAGGGUUUUUGAGGCAGGAAGAAUCUAGAAGAAGAUUCUGAAAACUAUUUAAUAGUUUUUUUCCUUAAAUUUUAUUCAUCUUCAUUGUUUCUCCAACACUGUCGUUCGAUUUUUAUUUUUGAGCCUGAUUACUUCGAAUUUUUUAGUAAGUCCACUUUAAAAGUAAAACGCUACAUAACAAUUUUAUUUCUUAGAUUUUGAAAGCAAAGUUAUGAUUAGUUCAAAUCUAUAUAUAUAUAUUAAAGAAACAAAGUUACUAUAUAUAAUAGGUAUUAUGAUUAAGCCAAGUGAUAAAUUAAUAAAUAUUAAUAAUAUAUAAUAACUUUAUUCUAUAUUUUUCUCUCUCUUUAUAUAUAUAUAUAUAUACUACUACUAUAACUAUAUAUUAUUAUUAAUCUUUUUUAAUAGAUCUGAAAAAAACAUAAAGGGGUUGUUGUGCAAAAUAAAUAUGGGAAUGUUGACUUCUUGAAUUUUUUGGUUACACCCAGAAAAUAAGGCAAUGUGUGAGAUGGUGCUGAGAGUGUAGAUCUGAAGAAGGUCACUGUGUGACUGUGUGAAGAUCUACAAAGGGUUUGAAGAAGAAUUUGGCUUAAUGAGCACGCGUAUGUUUUUCUUUU
rnacentral:lncRNA from 1 species